UUAAGUUAUUAAGGGCGCACGGUGGAUGCCUUGGCACUAGAAGCCGAUGAAGGACGUUACUAACGACGAUAUGCUUUGGGGAGCUGUAAGUAAGCUUUGAUCCAGAGAUUUCCGAAUGGGGAAACCCAGCAUGAGUUAUGUCAUGUUAUCGAUAUGUGAAUACAUAGCAUAUCAGAAGGCACACCCGGAGAACUGAAACAUCUUAGUACCCGGAGGAAGAGAAAGAAAAUUCGAUUCCCUUAGUAGCGGCGAGCGAAACGGGAAGAGCCCAAACCAACAAGCUUGCUUGUUGGGGUUGUAGGACACUCUGUACGGAGUUACAAAGGACGACAUUAGACGAAUCAUCUGGAAAGAUGAAUCAAAGAAGGUAAUAAUCCUGUAGUCGAAAAUGUUGUCUCUCUUGAGUGGAUCCUGAGUACGAAGGAGCACGUGAAAUUCCGUCGGAAUCUGGGAGGACCAUCUCCUAAGGCUAAAUACUCUCUAGUGACCGAUAGUGAACCAGUACCGUGAGGGAAAGGUGAAAAGCACCCCGGAAGGGGAGUGAAAUAGAACCUGAAACCGUGUGCUUACAAGUAGUCAGAGCCCGUUAAUGGGUGAUGGCGUGCCUUUUGUAGAAUGAACCGGCGAGUUACGAUUUGAUGCAAGGUUAAGCAGUAAAUGUGGAGCCGUAGCGAAAGCGAGUCUGAAUAGGGCGUUUAGUAUUUGGUCGUAGACCCGAAACCAGGUGAUCUACCCUUGGUCAGGUUGAAGUUCAGGUAACACUGAAUGGAGGACCGAACCGACUUACGUUGAAAAGUGAGCGGAUGAACUGAGGGUAGCGGAGAAAUUCCAAUCGAACCUGGAGAUAGCUGGUUCUCUCCGAAAUAGCUUUAGGGCUAGCCUCAAGUGAUGAUUAUUGGAGGUAGAGCACUGUUUGGACGAGGGGCCCCUCUCGGGUUACCGAAUUCAGACAAACUCCGAAUGCCAAUUAAUUUAACUUGGGAGUCAGAACAUGGGUGAUAAGGUCCGUGUUCGAAAGGGAAACAGCCCAGACCACCAGCUAAGGUCCCAAAAUAUAUGUUAAGUGGAAAAGGAUGUGGCGUUGCCCAGACAACUAGGAUGUUGGCUUAGAAGCAGCCAUCAUUUAAAGAGUGCGUAAUAGCUCACUAGUCGAGUGACACUGCGCCGAAAAUGUACCGGGGCUAAACAUAUUACCGAAGCUGUGGAUUGUCCUUUGGACAAUGGUAGGAGAGCGUUCUAAGGGCGUUGAAGCAUGAUCGUAAGGACAUGUGGAGCGCUUAGAAGUGAGAAUGCCGGUGUGAGUAGCGAAAGACGGGUGAGAAUCCCGUCCACCGAUUGACUAAGGUUUCCAGAGGAAGGCUCGUCCGCUCUGGGUUAGUCGGGUCCUAAGCUGAGGCCGACAGGCGUAGGCGAUGGAUAACAGGUUGAUAUUCCUGUACCACCUAUAAUCGUUUUAAUCGAUGGGGGGACGCAGUAGGAUAGGCGAAGCGUGCGAUUGGAUUGCACGUCUAAGCAGUAAGGCUGAGUAUUAGGCAAAUCCGGUACUCGUUAAGGCUGAGCUGUGAUGGGGAGAAGACAUUGUGUCUUCGAGUCGUUGAUUUCACACUGCCGAGAAAAGCCUCUAGAUAGAAAAUAGGUGCCCGUACCGCAAACCGACACAGGUAGUCAAGAUGAGAAUUCUAAGGUGAGCGAGCGAACUCUCGUUAAGGAACUCGGCAAAAUGACCCCGUAACUUCGGGAGAAGGGGUGCUCUUUAGGGUUAACGCCCAGAAGAGCCGCAGUGAAUAGGCCCAAGCGACUGUUUAUCAAAAACACAGGUCUCUGCUAAACCGUAAGGUGAUGUAUAGGGGCUGACGCCUGCCCGGUGCUGGAAGGUUAAGAGGAGUGGUUAGCUUCUGCGAAGCUACGAAUCGAAGCCCCAGUAAACGGCGGCCGUAACUAUAACGGUCCUAAGGUAGCGAAAUUCCUUGUCGGGUAAGUUCCGACCCGCACGAAAGGCGUAACGAUUUGGGCACUGUCUCAACGAGAGACUCGGUGAAAUCAUAGUACCUGUGAAGAUGCAGGUUACCCGCGACAGGACGGAAAGACCCCGUGGAGCUUUACUGUAGCCUGAUAUUGAAAUUCGGCACAGCUUGUACAGGAUAGGUAGGAGCCUUUGAAACGUGAGCGCUAGCUUACGUGGAGGCGCUGGUGGGAUACUACCCUAGCUGUGUUGGCUUUCUAACCCGCACCACUUAUCGUGGUGGGAGACAGUGUCAGGCGGGCAGUUUGACUGGGGCGGUCGCCUCCUAAAAGGUAACGGAGGCGCUCAAAGGUUCCCUCAGAAUGGUUGGAAAUCAUUCAUAGAGUGUAAAGGCAUAAGGGAGCUUGACUGCGAGACCUACAAGUCGAGCAGGGUCGAAAGACGGACUUAGUGAUCCGGUGGUUCCGCAUGGAAGGGCCAUCGCUCAACGGAUAAAAGCUACCCCGGGGAUAACAGGCUUAUCUCCCCCAAGAGUUCACAUCGACGGGGAGGUUUGGCACCUCGAUGUCGGCUCAUCGCAUCCUGGGGCUGUAGUCGGUCCCAAGGGUUGGGCUGUUCGCCCAUUAAAGCGGUACGCGAGCUGGGUUCAGAACGUCGUGAGACAGUUCGGUCCCUAUCCGUCGUGGGCGUAGGAAAUUUGAGAGGAGCUGUCCUUAGUACGAGAGGACCGGGAUGGACAUACCUCUGGUGUACCAGUUGUCGUGCCAACGGCAUAGCUGGGUAGCUAUGUGUGGACGGGAUAAGUGCUGAAAGCAUCUAAGCAUGAAGCCCCCCUCAAGAUGAGAUUUCCCAACUUCGGUUAUAAGAUCCCUCAAAGAUGAUGAGGUUAAUAGGUUCGAGGUGGAAGCAUGGUGACAUGUGGAGCUGACGAAUACUAAUCGAUCGAAGACUUAAUCAA
rnacentral:rRNA from 1 species